rnacentral:rRNA from 1 species
AAGUCGUAACAAGGUCUCCGUUGGUGAACCACCGGAGGGAUCAUUA